rnacentral:rRNA from 1 species
CAAUAGCGUAUAUUAAAGUUGUUGCAGUUAAAAAGCUCGUAGUUGGAUUUCUGUUCUCGGAGGUAUCGGUCCGCCUCGACGGUGAGCACGUGGUUUUUCUUGGGGGACAUCCUCUCGAAGGCGGGUGGUGCACUUAAUUGUGUGCUGCUUGGAUUCGGGACCUUUACUUUGAAAAAUUAGAGUGUUCAAAGCAGGCGUCGGCUUGAAUACAUUAGCAUGGAAUAAUGGAAUAGGACUUUGGUUCUAUUUUGUUGGUUUCUAGGACCGAAGUAAUGAUUAAUAGGGACAGUUGGGGGCAUUAGUAUUUAAUUGUCAGAGGUGAAAUUCUUGGAUUUAUAGAAAG